rnacentral:lncRNA from 1 species
GAAUUUCAAAUUUGUGAAUCGGACGGACGCCUGAUUGUCUCUACGGCGCUGAAGUUAUGUGGUAGGGAGAACAAGAUGACACAUAUAAAACGUCUGGGUACUGAGCGGUAGUCAGUCUCCCAAUAUGCAUAGAGCAGCCCACAAUAACCAAAAAUAACUUAUAGAUCAUCAUUAGUUUUAUAGGGCAUGUUAUACUUGACUUCUUUUUGAGGUGUUAUGUAUUACUAUGUUAGCUAGUAGUAGAGGGGACAGCUCUCAUGACAGUAGUUAGCUAUAUAUUAUUUGAAACUCAAGCCUAAGCUCCCGCCACCAUGUGUAAUUAAACACACGUUCUUUUCAAAUUGCGCAUGAUUUUCGAAAUUAUUUUGUUCGUUACGAUUACUAGCGAAUAUGUCCAUGUGUUGCUACAAGCAAGAUCAUAAUAUAUAUUAUCACACUAUAAUGCUAAACAUAAUUACGUAAAACUAUGAUACGCUAUACAUGUUAUUUUUGAUCAUUAAAAGAGUAAUCAAUGUAGUCUGGUACGAUCGUGUGUGC